GAUGAACGCUGGCGGCGUGCCUAAUACAUGCAAGUCGUACGAAGGAGCUUGCUCCUUAGUGGCGAACGGGUGAGUAAUACAUAAAUAAUCUGCCUCAAUGUCUGGGAUAACUAUUGGAAACGAUAGCUAAUACCGGAUAGCUUGUUAGAAGACAUCUUCUUUCAACUAAAGGAGCGUUCGCUCCGCUUUGAGAUGAGUUUAUGGCGCAUUAGUUAGUUGGCGGGGUAAUGGCCCACCAAGACGAUGAUACGUAGCCGAUCUGAGAGGAUGACCGGCCACACUGGGACUGAGACACGGCCCAGACUCCUACGGGAGGCAGCAGUAGGGAAUUUUCGGCAAUGGGCGCAAGCCUGACCGAGCAACGCCGCGUGAGUGAUGAAGGCCUUCGGGUUGUAAAGCUCUGUUGUUAGGGAAGAAUGAUCAGGAUAGGAAAUGAUCCUGAAGUGACGGUACCUAACCAGAAAGCCACGGCUAACUACGUG
rnacentral:rRNA from 1 species